UACGUAGGGGGCAAGCGUUGUCCGGAAUUAUUGGGCGUAAAGAGCGUGUAGGCGGUCCGGUAAGUCAGCUGUGAAAGUCAAGGGCUCAACCCUUGAAUGCCGGUUGAUACUGUCGGGCUAGAGUCCGGAAGAGGCGAGUGGAAUUCCCGGUGUAGCGGUGAAAUGCGUAGAGAUCGGGAGGAACACCCGUGGCGAAGGCGGCCAGCUGGGCCGGACCUGACGCUGAGGCGCGAAGGCGUGGGGAGCGAACGGG
rnacentral:rRNA from 1 species